ACAAUGGAGAGUUUGAUCCUGGCUCAGGAUGAACGCUGGCGGCGUGCUUAACACAUGCAAGUCGAACGGGCUCUUCGGAGCUAGUGGCGGACGGGUGAGUAACGCGUGAGGAUCUGUCCUUAGGAGGGGGAUAACAUUGGGAAACUGAUGCUAAUACCCCAUAUGCCGAGAGGUGAAAGAGUGAAUUCUGCCUGAGGGUGAGCUCGCGUCGGAUUAGCUAGUUGGUGCGGUAAUGGCGUACCAAGGCGACGAUCCGUAGCUGGUCUGAGAGGAUGAUCAGCCACACUGGGACUGAGACACGGCCCAGACUCCUACGGGAGGCAGCAGUGGGGAAUUUUCCGCAAUGGGGGCAACCCUGACGGAGCAACGCCGCGUGCGGGAGGACGGCCCUAGGGUUGUAAACCGCUUUUCUCAGGGAAGAAGGACUGACGGUACCUGAGGAAUAAGCCUCGGCUAACUCCGUGCCAGCAGCCGCGGUAAGACGGAGGAGGCAAGCGUUAUCCGGAAUUAUUGGGCGUAAAGCGUCCGUAGGCGGCUAGUCAAGUCUGCUGUCAAAGUUCAGGGCUUAACCCUGAGUCGGCGGUGGAAACUGAGUAGCUAGAGAGCGGCAGGGGUAGAGGGAAUUCCCAGUGUAGCGGUGAAAUGCGUAGAUAUUGGGAAGAACACCAGUGGCGAAGGCGCUCUACUGGGCCGUUACUGACGCUGAGGGACGAAAGCUAGGGGAGCGAAAGGGAUUAGAUACCCCUGUAGUCCUAGCUGUAAACGAUGGAUACUAGGUGUUGGCCGUAUCGACCCGGUCAGUACCGAAGCAAACGCGUUAAGUAUCCCGCCUGGGGAGUACGCACGCAAGUGUGAAACUCAAAGGAAUUGACGGGGGCCCGCACAAGCGGUGGAGUAUGUGGUUUAAUUCGAUGCAACGCGAAGAACCUUACCAGGGCUUGACAUCCCGCGAACCCUUCUGAAAGGAGGGGGUGCCUUCGGGAGCGCGGAGACAGGUGGUGCAUGGCUGUCGUCAGCUCGUGUCGUGAGAUGUUGGGUUAAGUCCCGCAACGAGCGCAACCCUCGUCCUUAGUUGCCAUCAUUGAGUUGGGCACUCUGGGGAGACUGCCGGGGACAACUCGGAGGAAGGUGGGGAUGACGUCAAGUCAUCAUGCCCCUUACGUUCUGGGCUACACACGUACUACAAUGCUUCGGACAGAGGGCAGCGAGCCUGCGAGGGUGAGCUAAUCCCAUAAACCGAGGCACAGUUCAGAUUGCAGGCUGCAACUCGCCUGCAUGAAGGAGGAAUCGCUAGUAAUCGCAGGUCAGCAUACUGCGGUGAAUACGUUCCCGGGCCUUGUACACACCGCCCGUCACACCAUGGGAGUUGGCCACGCCCGAAGCCGUUACUCCAACCUUUCGGGGAGGAGGACGUCGAAGGCAGGGCUGAUGACUGGGGUGAAGUCGUAACAAGGUAGCCGUACCGGAAGGUGUGGCUGGAUCACCUCCUUU
rfam:Halomicronema hongdechloris C2206 genome.